GAAAUAUUUUGGGGGAACCACAGAAGAGAGGAAUUCACCCAAAUCUGUAGAAUCACUAAAAACUGAACCUGCCCUUUUUCCUGAAGCCUUACAAACUAAAGCUGAUGGACUUGAUACAAACUUAAGAGAUUACUUGAUGACAUCAUCAGAGACAUUUUAAACUGCAAAAGAUGCUUUGACGCUGACAUCUAAAAUUCUUCUUCACUGGCUGUCCUCUGAACUCAAAAACUGCUUUACAACUUGCUCCAACCAUUAACCUUGUUUUUCUUUUGUUUACAUAGAAAUGCUUCUAUUAAAUACUUGAUUGCUUGCUUCCAUAAUAUAGGCGUAACCUUGAGAGCCCA